UGGAGAGUUUGAUCCUGGCUCAGGAUGAACGCUAGCGGCAGGCUUAAUACAUGCAAGUCGAGCGGGGGGCAACCCCAGCGGCGGACGGGUGCGCAACACGUAAGCAAUCUGCCCCGGAGUGGGGGAUAGCGCCGGGAAACUGGCGGUAAUCCCGCAUGACGCAGCGGCCCCGCAUGGGGACAGUUGUUAAAGGCUUCGGCCGCUUCGGGAGGAGCUUGCGUCCGAUUAGCUUGUUGGCGGGGUAACGGCCCACCAAGGCGACGAUCGGUAGCUGGUCUGAGAGGAUGAUCAGCCACACCGGCACUGAGACACGGGCCGGACUCCUACGGGAGGCAGCAGUAGGGAAUAUUGGGCAAUGGGCGAAAGCCUGACCCAGCCAUGCCGCGUGCGGGACGAAGGCGCAUAGCGUCGUAAACCGCUUUGGCGGGGGACGUAAAGCCGCAGUCGCUGCGGCCUGAGGUACCCCGAGAACAAGCGCCGGCCAACUACGUGCCAGCAGCCGCGGUAAUACGU
rnacentral:rRNA from 1 species